GACGAACGCUGGCGGCGUGCCUAAUACAUGCCAGUCGAACGCAGUGGGGACGGGUGAGUAACACGUGGGUAACCUACCAUCAGGGGGGAUAACACUUGGAAACAGGUGCUAAACCGAUACUGAUGGAUGGACCCGCGGUGCAUUAGCUAGUUGGUGAGGUAACGGCUCACCAAGGCCACGAUGCAUAGACGACCCGAGGGGGUCAUCGGCCACACUGUGACUGAGACACGGCCCAGCGUCCUGCGGUGGGCAGCAGGAGGUAAUCGUCGGCAAUUGCCGAAAUUCUGACCGAGCAACGCCGCGUGAGUGAAGAAUGUUUUCGGAUCGUAAAACUCUGUUGUUAGAGAAGCGGUAUCUAACCAGAAAGCCACGGCUAACUACGUGCCAGCAGCCGCGGUAAUAC
rnacentral:rRNA from 1 species